CAUUAUCAGCUCAUGCUUCAGCGCUCUGCGAGUGUUUAUAGUCCUGUGACUUUAACACUUCAUGACUGAGAGCUGCUGCUCAGCGACUUCACCCACAGCAACCAUGAGUUUGAUCAGCGUCUUCAUCUGCACACUGGCCCUCUGCGCUCGAGGAUCCAGAGGUCAGGUGACUGUGACUCAGAGUCCUGCAGUGAAAUCUGUUUCUCCAGGAGACACACUCACCAUCAGCUGUAAAACCAGUCCUGCUGUUUACUAUAGUGGUGGUUAUUAUUUGUCCUGGUAUCAGCAGAAAGCUGGAGAAGCUCCGAAACUCCUGAUCUAUGCUGCUAACAGAAGAGAAUCAGGUAUUCCAGCUCGUUUCAGUGGCAGUGGAUCUGGAUCUGAUUUCACUCUGACCAUCAGUGGAGUCCAGACUGAAGAUGCUGGAGAUUAUUACUGUCAGAGUGCCCAUGUGAUCAGUAGUAGCUGGGUGUUCACACAGUGUUAGAGCGUCGUACAAAAACCUGGGUGUGUGUGAGUGCUGCAGCUGGGACCUACUGCAGGUGCUGAGGGGGACGAUGUGAUCCAGCACAAUCACACACACACACACACACACACACACACACACACACACAGUGUAGCAGUGGAAGCUAACAGCAUGUUCAUGAAUCAUUUUCCCCAGAGGUCGCAUGUACAGGGAAGAAAGCAGUGUGUGUAGAACAGAGCUGUCUCAGUCCUG